rnacentral:rRNA from 1 species
UACGUAGGCAGCGAGCGUUGUCCGGAAUUAUUGGGCGUAAAGAGCUUGUAGGUGGCUCGUCGCGUCGGGAGUGAAAACCCGCGGCUUAACCGCGGGCCUGCUUUCGAUACGGGCGGGCUAGAGUUCGGCAGGGGAGACUGGAAUUCCUGGUGUAGCGGUGGAAUGCGCAGAUAUCAGGAGGAACACCGGUGGCGAAGGCGGGUCUCUGGGCCGAUACUGACACUGAGAAGCGAAAGCGUGGGGAGCGAACAGG